CUUCCCUUUACCUAAUCUAAGGUAAUGCUAUUCUUAUCUAGUGCCCCCAACCUUAUUGUGAAUUAGCAUUCCCAUAUUAGAGAAAAUGUUCAGCCUUUGAUUUUUUGGGAUUGGCUUAUUUCACUUAGCAUGAUAUUCUCCAACUCCAUCCAUUUACUGGCAAAUGCCAUAAUUUCAUUCUUUUUUAAAACUGAGUAAUAUUCCAUUGAAUAUAUGUGCCACAUUUUCUUUAUCCAUUUAUCUAUUGAAGGACACCUAGAUUGGUUCCAUAGUUUAGCUAUCAUGAAUUGAGCUGCUAUAAACAUUGACAUGGCCGAAUUCAUAUUAUAUUUGGUGAACAUUGUGGGAUGGAAGCAAAUCCAAGUGAUAUGCCCCAAAUUGAGCUAAAAAUAUAGCCUUUUCUAACAAGCAAAUAGUAUUUUCUCUCCUUACACAGUUUGUCUUUCUAGAUGCUCUUCAGAUGAACUAGUGUCCCCAGGGGACAGAUGUCCUUCCAUUAAUACUGUGUUUUCAACCCUAGCCAUGAAGUGUCGUGGCGGAGUUCAGGAUUCCUCCCUUUACACAGGGAUACAGGAGCCUUUUACAUUUUGAUCAACCCUUAUAAUGUAGUUUUUUAAAAUUGUUAAGUCUUUGAUUCUCACUAGUCCCUAAAAAGAUUUUACAACUCUCAAUAAAUAUUUGCUGUUGCUGUUACUAUUGUUCCAUACAGCCCUGGGAGUAGAUCACUGUAUUGUCUAUCCGAGUUUUGUUUUGUUUUAACAAAGUUGAACAAACCAAUUGCAAAAUCAUUUGCAGAGUGAAUGAUUAUUUAUAUAAAUGGGUAUUUUUAAG
rnacentral:lncRNA from 1 species